UACGAAGGGUGCAAGCGUUACUCGGAAUCACUGGGCGUAAAGCGUGCGUAGGCGGUUAGUUAAGUCUGCUGUGAAAGCCCUGGGCUCAACCUGGGAACUGCAGUGGAUACUGGCUGGCUAGAGUGUGAUAGAGGAUGGUGGAAUUCCCGGUGUAGCGGUGAAAUGCGUAGAGAUCGGGAGGAACACCAGUGGCGAAGGCGGCCAUCUGGAUCAACACUGACGCUGAGGCACGAAAGCGUGGGGAGCAAACAGG
rnacentral:rRNA from 1 species